rnacentral:piRNA from 1 species
UGCAUUAAGAUGGCAACAAGGGGCCGUGGA